rnacentral:rRNA from 1 species
UACGAAGGGUGCAAGCGUUAAUCGGAAUUACUGGGCGUAAAGCGUGCGCAGGCGGUUGUGCAAGACCGAUGUGAAAUCCCCCGGGCUUUAACCUGGGGAAUGGCAUUGGUGACUGCACGGCUAGAGUGUGUCAGAGGGGGGUAGAAUUCCACGUGUAGCAGUGAAAUGCGUAGAGAUGUGGAGGAAUACCGAUGGCGAAGGCAGCCCCCUGGGAUAACACUGACGCUCAUGCACGAAAGCGUGGGGAGCAAACAGG